rnacentral:lncRNA from 1 species
AGCAAGGCGUAAGAGGACUUUCUAGGGGUUGGGUACCAACCCUGCUUGGUUAUAGUGCUCAGGGAGCUUGCAAGUAUGGAUUCUAUGAAUUCUUUAAGAAAUACUACUCUGAUAUUGCUGGUCCUGAGUAUGCAGCCAAGUAUAAGACUUUGAUCUACCUCGCUGGCUCUGCAUCCGCUGAAUUCAUUGCUGUUGUUGCCCUUUGUCCCUUCGAAGCAGUUAAGGUUCGUGUCCAGACUCAACCUGGAUUCGCCAGAGGCAUAUCAGAUGGACUUCCCAAGUUUAUCAAGGCUGAAGGUCCACUUGGGUAAGGUUUUCAUUGCAUGUCAAGUAGUUGAUACAGUUUCUUAUUCUGCUGAUACAUUCUAAAGCCAAUCUUAUAUAUAAUUUAUAUUUUUCCAGGCUUUACAAAGGGCUUGUUCCUCUAUGGGGACGACAAAUUCCAUGUAAGCUUCCAUGUCUAUUUUCUUUCGCUAUCUUUACAUCUUAAUUCUCAAAGUGUUAUUCUUGGUCAUUUGCCUAUUCUGUCAUGGACAUGCUUUGCCAAUUUACAGCUCUAGCUUUCUGAUUUUCUCAAUGACAUCAUUGAAUAUUUUUAGAUCAUCUCCAAUUGCUUUUGUAAUAGUCUUUCAGUCUUAACUUCAAUUAGAGUUUUCAGUAGUGACUCACAAAUGCAGGCUAUUUAUUCAAUCACAAAAUACUAGGCAAUCUAUUUUCCUGAUAGUAUAUUGAGCAACAAGUAUAAUUAGCUUGAAGCUGCCGUGUGCAGAAACUAGUUUCUUCUGCAACAUCUUCAGUUACCGCGUGUCCCCUGCACAGACAUGAGGUUGCAGAUUACCUGCUUUUCAAGUCGAUCCCAAUUUUGAAAAUGAAACGUUAGACUCAUUAAAAAACACACGUACAUUAACUGCAUUAUGAUAUUUUUUUUUUUUUUUUGUAUUUGCAAACCAUGGUUUAUCCUCAGAAAAGGGCAAUUUCAUUUACUAUCACUAUAAAAAAAUUUUUAAGCUCCAUGUUAUGAUGCGAUAUGUACAUUCUUGAUAAUGUAGACUUUAGGUGUUGCAACGCAUUUCCAGUUGUGUGAUUUACUUUGGGAACUUAAUCAUAGGUUUAGAUGAAAGAGUCGGUAUACAUCUAUCCGUUACACGGAAAAUCCUUCUCUGCUACUCUCUAGUUUUCUGAAAAUAAGCAAAUGAACAAUGAGGUUUGGAUAUCAACAAGCAACUUUUGGAAAAAUUAUUCUGCUAAAAACACACAUCUUUUUCCAUUCCUUCUUACUUGGUAGUUACUUUCUAGAUAUACUCUCAGAAAAAUUGGUAGCCUUGUAUUUGCCAAAUAACCAGAAUGAUAUCUUUGCAGACACAAUGAUGAAGUUUGGAUCUUUCGAGACCAUUGUGGAACUUGUGUACAAGUAUGCCGUUCCAACUCCUAAAGAGCAGUGUAGCAAACCUUUUCAGCUUGGAGUUAGCUUUGCAGGUGGUUAUGUCGCUGGCAUUUUCUGUGCUCUUGUCUCACAUCCUGCUGAUAACCUGGUCUCUUUCCUCAACAACGCCAAGGGGGCGACCGUGGCUGAUGUAAGUAAAGAUAUAUAGCAGUAUUACUUACUGCCCUUAGGUUGAAAUUGUUAUCCAUCCUGUGUUAUUUCUCAUAUGAUUUCUGCUACAAUUUAUUUGCUGCAGGCUGUAAAGAACCUAGGCUUGUGGGGUUUAUUUACUCGAGGCCUUCCUCUUCGUAUAUUCAUGAUCGGUACCCUUACUGGAGGACAAUGGGGAUUGUAUGAUUCUUGCAAGGUUGCUCUUGGAUUGUAAGUUACUCAUUAACCUUUGCUUCUGGAGUCACUUGCAUCUUUUUAUGAUCUUCUUCCUGUAUAUCCUUUUCAGCAUUUGCAUUUUCAAGUCAUUAGUCCUUUUCAUGAAUUGAUAAGAUCUCUCUACUUGUGUUUUAGUUCUUUCUCUUGUAAUGAUAUGUUGCUCUUCCUCCUGCAGACCAACUACCGGUGGUGCUGCUCCUCCUGCACCAGCAGCAAGCUUGAGGGAUUCCCUGAUGAUCUGAGAACACAAGUUCCUUAUCUCUGUAGUCAGACAUUUUUUUGUAGGCCAUUCUUUUUAGGGAUAACAUUCAAAUUGAAAAGGUCAGAGCUGCCUUCCAGGUUGGCAUUUGAUCUUCUGGGAUUUGUAAUAUCUUCAAAGGCAUCAUUGUAUUUGCUAAAUCUGUAAUAAUAUGAAAACUAUGUAAUAAUAAGAGUAAACGUUGGAGGAAAAAAAAAAAAUUUUCGAGAAUUUUCUUUCGAAGUAACAAAUGUCUCGUGUCAAAAUCCCAAGCCAGUUGAAAACCUUUACAUGUCCCCAAAGUUCUGCUGUUAGUAGGAGUGGGCAAAAUUGAAAAAUUCUGAUUUAUCGAUCGAAUUCGAAUUGAAUUUGGAAUUUUCAGAAUCGGUAAUUCGGAAUUCGGCAUUGAAAUCAGAAUUUUCGAUUUCGAAUUAUGUGAAUUUGGUUCGAAUUCAGUAACGGAGUUUUUGAAAUCAAAAUUUAUGAUUUUAAUUUUGUUUUAUAAUAUAUAUAUUUAUAGAUAUAUUUAUAUAUAUAAUAAUAUUUUUAUAAUGUAUGUAAUAUAGAAUUUAUAUUAUAUAACAAUAUAUCAAACAAAAAAAAGGGGGAAAAAGGUUUUGAAUUCGGUGAAUUCGAAAUUUAUCGAAUUUCGAAUUGAAUUCGGAACUGGUGAAUUUGAAAUCGAAUUCGAUCAAUAAUUCUACUCCCAAAUUUUCAAAAAAUUCCGAAUCCGAACUUCCGAAUUACUGAAUUCGAAUUUGUUAUACAACACUAGCUGAUAGGCUGGCAGCCGGCCCAACUAUUUCAACUAGGCCCCGCUUGAUAAGACUAAAAUCUGGUGUUCGAAGUUUGAAAGUGUUUAAAGCAUUAAAGUGUUGAAUUAAUAUUAAUAAAAUUAUGCUCCAUUUAGUUGGUUGACAACUAAUAGAAUUAUAGCACUAAAUUAAAAUAUCGCACAAAUAUUAUUAUUUUUUUUAUCUUUUAUUAAAUUGAAACAUUGCUCCGUCUAUUAUCAAGCAUGUUGAAUUCAAAACACUCCAAAUGAAUUAAUUUUCAACAGUAAAUAGAGAGUUAUGAAACAGGCCCUAAGAUUCCAUGUACCAUUUUUUAACUUUACAUAUUUGACGCAAUAGCAGAUCAACAUUUUACUUUGUAUAUAAAAGGUGUGUUAUAGUUUGGUGUAGACUUUUUUUUUUUUUUUUUUCACUUUUUAAAAAGCCCAACUUUACUCUCACAACAAACUUAAUUUUACAUUUCUAAUCUAAUCACAUAACCUUCCAGAAGCCUAUAUUGUCAACCAACACAAUCACAACUGAGUUUCACCUUCACUAUUCAAAUGCUUUUUUUUUUUUUGAGGAACUAUUCAAAUGCAUAUUAUUACCUGCAUAACUACCAAUCAACAUUAUAAUCACCAAAUUAAUUUUAAAAACCUAUUCAGAAAACAAUUAUGAAUCAAGGGUUUUUUUUUCUUUUUAAUGAAACUGUAUACUCAAUUUUUUCAUAUAAAAAAUAAUUUGUUCUAGAAUUGCACAUACAUUGAACAAUAGGGUCUAAAAGAACUCAAUUAUAGAACUUGUCACACGCAUGCUAUUAUGACCCCAUGGAAAUGGGGUAGCAUAACCGUCCUGAGCAGUUAAUGACCAUGAUUUGGUCAAAAAAUUUUGUGCGGUCCUGAUAACAAGUUAUGCAUCAAUUUUCACAUCGUGUGUGGGACCCGCAAAAUUUUGUACUAAAGUUACACGUUAUACAAAUAAAAUUACACCGCUGUUAAAAAUGGCCAAAACCGUUGAGGACGGUUGCACCCUGCCCCUUGUCCAUGACCCCAUGCUCAUUUUGUAUAGACAAAGAAGUUCCGUAAGGUUUCCUGACUGAGUCUGGUCCUUCGGGCUGCCGGUGGAAAUGUUGCUAAAUCUUAUGUCAGCGCUUUAGUGGCUAAACGGUGUUAUACACAAGGAAUUAUUUUACAAAAAAAGUUAUUUAUUUGCAUUAUAAUCAUAUUUUUAAUACAUUUCUUUUAUCUUUUUAAUAUAUUUUUAUCUCAUAUAUAUUAUAUUAUAAAAAAUAUUAUAAUAAUUAUUUUAAAUAAUAUUUUAAAUAAUCUCUUAUCCCUAACAUUUUGUAGUAUUUGUUAACGUGAAUGACAUCCUGUCGAGAAUGUAAGUAUAGUCUAACUAUAUGACUAAAAAAAAAAAAAUUUCCCCCAAUUUUUUUUAUUUGAUUGGAAUGAUGCAUAAAUUUUUCAAAAUGAAAAGAAUUACUGGAGAUAAAAUUGUUCUACAAAAUCCUUCAAAAAGGAACAAAGGGGAAAAAAAAAUUCAGGGACAAAGAAUGAGAAGACUUUGUGAAGAACACGGGGCGUCUGCAAUCUUAAAAUAUUCAAAAGCUAUUCAAACACAGGUCAACAAAAAAGAAAAGUCAAACUCAAAUACGGAAUGAGUGAGGAAGCCAACUCCCUAACGGCCCCUAUAAACCGCGCGAACAGUGGACUGACACCCCUUACAAUCCGCAUCCAAAAGGCCUUGUUAAUUUCAUCUUCCUCCCCUCUUCCCUCCCUCUCCAACUCUCCCGGACAGCCCUUCUUCUUUUUCUUGGGAUUUCUCUCAAUUCUAUCACCAAAUAAAUCUACACAAAUCAUCCCACUUCCUUAAACUUCCCAAAAAAAAAGAGAGUAAAAAGUAAGCCAAAAAACUGGUUUCAAGAAAGAACAACACUUCAGUACUACUAUUCGAUUGCAGAGCUGACUGUAUUCACUAGCAAUGGCUGUUUCAGACAAGUUUCAAAGAGCAUCUUUGAUCCCAUCUUUUGUUUAUUCUCCUCCUUCGUUGUCGUCAAGGGGAUUGAUUGAUGUGGAGAGCCCUUUUCUGAUGUCUAGUGCUUCAUUUUCGCACUCCAGUGUUUCAUCAUCAGCACGGAAUGAAGGGAUUGUGAAGAAAGAUUUUGUGAUUCCAGCGCCUAAUGAGCCCACUGGAAAGAUUAAGAUGUUUUCGCCCGCUUAUUAUGCUGCUUGCACUGCAGGAGGAAUUUUUAGUUGUGGGCUAACUCAUAUGGCUGUCACCCCUCUUGAUCUGGUCAAGUGUAAUAUGCAGGUUAAUAACUUCAUUCAUGACGAUGCACUGUUUUAUUUUUAUUUUUUCAUUCUCCUUUUCGGAUUAUCUGUUAGGCUCUAUUUUGCAUUGGAAUCAAUGUAGUAAGGGUGUCCGUGAAAGAGAUGCGAGAUAAGGAAUUUUAUUAGAUUAGGUAGAGAAAUUAUACUAAGCAGUAAGUUUAGACUAUUAGAUCUUGGUUCUUUAUUGUAAUUGUUAUUGAAUUUUAUACAUUUUAUUUUAUACUAUAUUAAGUGAGAAAUAUACUUGCGAUAUAUUUACAUUUAUCUUGUAUUUAGCAUUUUAUCAAUGAUUCCAAAAUGUAAGAGAAGAACUGAACUAUCUUGAGCACCAAAAAAAAAAAAAAGCCUUUUGGGGAUUUCUUCAUUUACCUUUCCCUUCCUUUGCUGAAGGUAAUAGCUAUCGUUACUUUGUUAAUGCAUUCUCAGUUCUACGUUUGUACAUGAUCAGAAGCAGUUGUUUUCUCUGCUGGAAAAAAAUGAUUAGAUGCAAAAAUUGAAACAGAAAUUUCAUGUUGUGCAAAUAUGUAGGUGAAUCAUUGUUAUAGGAGUACUUCUAAAGCCAUGCCAUUUGCCUCUUUAGUGCUUCUAAUUUGUGUGGCAUAAUCUUUAAUCCACUCAUUGUCUGAAUUUGUAGUAAGAUGCAUUAGGUAUCUUAGUAUUAUAUAUAUAAAAAAAGAAGGUAUAUUAGUGUUUGUUUUUUGGAAGAAACAGUGGUGGUAUGUCACCAGGAUUCAGCCAUAAAACAUCAUGCAAUUAAUUAAAUCUUUAUUGUUCUUCUGUUAAGCUAAUGGUGUAGUAAUUGAAUUAACUUGAUAAUCCUUAUGUAUUCAGAUUGACCCUGCAAAAUACAAGGGCAUUACUUCUGGUUUCGGUGUUUUACUCAAGGAGCAAGGUGCAAGAGGUUUUUUUAGGGGUUGGGUGCCAACCCUGCUUGGUUAUAGUGCUCAGGGAGCUUGCAAGUUUGGAUUCUAUGAAUUCUUUAAGAAAUACUACUCUGAUAUUGCCGGUCCUGAGUAUGCAGCCAAGUAUAAAACUUUGAUCUACCUUGCUGGCUCUGCAUCUGCUGAAUUCAUUGCUGAUGUUGCCCUUUGUCCCUUCGAAGCAGUUAAGGUUCGUGUCCAGACUCAACCUGGAUUCGCCAGAGGCAUAUCAGAUGGACUUCCCAAGUUUAUCAAGGCUGAAGGUCCACUU